rnacentral:rRNA from 1 species
GAUGAACGCUGGCGGCGUGCCUAAUACAUGCAAGUCGAGCGAACAGACGAGGAGCUUGCUCCUCUGACGUUAGCGGCGGACGGGUGAGUAACACGUGGAUAACCUACCUAUAAGACUGGGAUAACUUCGGGAAACCGGAGCUAAUACCGGAUAAUAUAUUGAACCGCAUGGUUCCAUAGUGAAAGACGGUUUUGCUGUCACUUAUAGAUGGAUCCGCGCCGCAUUAGCUAGUUGGUAAGGUAACGGCUUACCAAGGCAACGAUGCGUAGCCGACCUGAGAGGGUGGUCGGCCACACUGGAACUGAGACACGGUCCAGACUCCUACGGGAGGCAGCAGUAGGGAAUCUUCCGCAAUGGGCGAAAGCUUGACGGAGCAACGCCGCGUGAGUGAUGAAGGUCUUCGGAUCGUAAAACUCUGUUAUUAGGGAAGAACAAAUGUGUAAGUAACUAUGCACGUCUUGACGGUACCUAAUCAGAAAGCCACGGCUAACUACGUG